rnacentral:rRNA from 1 species
UACAGAGGGGGCAAGCGUUGUUCGGAAUCACUGGGCGUAAAGGGCGCGUAGGCGGCUUUAUAAGUCGGGGGUGAAAGCCUGUGGCUCAACCACAGAAUUGCCUUCGAUACUGUAGAGCUUGAGACCGGAAGAGGUAAGUGGAACUGCGAGUGUAGAGGUGAAAUUCGUAGAUAUUCGCAAGAACACCAGUGGCGGAGGCGGCUUACUGGUCCGGUUCUGACGCUGAGGCGCGAAAGCGUGGGGAGCAAACAGG